GAUGAUUCAGCUUUUGAUCAGACUCAUGGAGGGUCAUUUACAAAGAACAGCUUUUUACGCCAGACUAAAGAAACUAGCUAAAAUGAAAAAAACAUACGACCCACUGAAUUAUCCACAGCGGAUAAUGUGACUGCUGAUGAAGGUCUAUCGUGACCGAAACGUCCUGUCAGAAAUAUUCUGUUAUUGAUUAUAUACCACUGGCCUAAUGGAUGAUGCAGAUUAUGUGAAAUAAAGCUAUGCUUUAAUUGCAAAACCUGA